rnacentral:lncRNA from 1 species
AAAAUUAAAGUAAAGGAAAUAUGCAUAAAGUAAAGAGAUAAGAGAAAAGAGAUGACACGAGGAUUUAUAGAGGUUCAGUCUAAAUGAAGUGACCUACUCAUCUCCCCAAGAUUUGAAUUUUAGAGUAUCCAAUAAUGAUUAUGAAAUUUUUUUAACUCACAAACCCCAUUAUACAAGGAAAAAUGAAGUUUCAGGUUUACUUCCAACCAAACAAGGAACAACAGACUGGAGAGAUUAACCUUCAUUCUAAACAUGAACAAAGCUUCGAGCAAUUAGUCCCCCAAAUAAACCAAUAUUUUAUACAAACUUAUCUCGAACCAAUGCGGAGUUUUGAACUAGCUAUCCUCCAAAUCUAACCGGUAUUUCACAUGUGCUAACCACGAACCGAAUCGAGAUUUUUUUACACCAGGCUAAUCUCGAACCAAGUUGAGGUUUUACACCAGGCUGAACUCAAGAACAAAGAAGAAUACUUUUCACUAGUAUAUUCGAGAACCCAAAGAGAUAACUUUUCCUUAAGUGGUUCAACUCACAAGUCAAACAAUGGCUUAAUACUAAAUCCUCCAAACAAAGAUUUAAGAGGUUUAGAUUUGAACCUAAACAAACACUUCCUAAGGAAGAGAUGUCCACUCAAGAGAAAAAGACUCUUUGUGAAUUUACAAUAUUACUCUUUCUAGAACAAAUUUUUUCACUUAAACACAAAGACUUUCUCAAAGCGUUGUGGCUAAAUUGAUUUGAGAGAAAGUAGAAAAAUGUUUCAUAUAGAGAGUGAGAAAA